rnacentral:rRNA from 1 species
UACGUAGGGUGCAAGCGUUAAUCGGAAUACUGGGCGUAAAGCGUGCGCAGGCGGUGAUGUAAGACAGAUGUGAAAUCCCCCGGGCUCAACCUGGGAACUGCAUUUGUGACUGCAUCGCUGGAGUGCGGCAGAGGGGGAUGGAAUUCCGCGUGUAGCAGUGAAAUGCGUAGAUAUGCGGAGGAACACCGAUGGCGAAGGCAAUCCCCUGGGCCUGCACUGACGCUCAUGCACGAAAGCGUGGGAGCAACAGGAU